rnacentral:miRNA from 7 species
UCAAGGGCGCUGAAUGGCGGACGUGUGAGGAGGG